GAUGAACGCUGGCGGCGUGCCUAAUACAUGCAAGUCGAGCGAACGGACGAGAAGCUUGCUUUUCUGAUGUUAGCGGCGGACGGGUGAGUAACACGUGGAUAACCUACCUAUAAGACUGGGAUAACUUCGGGAAACCGGAUCUAAUACCGGAUAAUAUUUUGAACCGCAGUGUUCAAAAGUGAAAGACGGUCUUUCUGUCACUUAUAGAUGGAUCCGCGCUGCAUUAGCUAGUUGGUAAGGUAACGGCUUACCAAGGCAACGAUGCGUAGCCGACCUGAGAGGGUGGUCGGCGACACUGGAACUGAGACACGGUCAAGACUCCUAAGGGAGGGAGCAGUAGGGAAUCUUCCGCAAUGGGCGGAAGCCUGACGGAGCAACGCCGCGUGAGUGAUGAAGGUCUUCGGAUCGUAAAACUCUGUUAUUAGGGAAGAACAUAUGUGUAAGUAAAUGUGCACAUCUUGACGGUACCUAAUCAGAAAGCCACGGCUAACUACGUG
rnacentral:rRNA from 1 species